rnacentral:rRNA from 1 species
GAUGAACGCUAGCGGCAGGCCUAAUACAUGCAAGUCGAACGGUAAGGCCCUUUCGGGGGUACACGAGUGGCGGACGGGUGCGUAACGCGUAUGCAACAUGCCUUCCAGCGGGGGAUAUACCAGGGAAACUUGGCGCAAUACCCCAUAGAAUUACGGGACCGCAUGGUCUUGUGAUUAAAACUCCGGUGCUGGGAGAUUGGCAUGCGUGACAUUAGCUAGUUGGCGGGGUAACGGCCCACCAAGGCGACGAUGUCUAGCUGGUCUGAGAGGAUGAUCAGCCACACUGGGACUGAGACACGGCCCAGACUCCUACGGGAGGCAGCAGUAGGGAAUAUUGGACAAUGGGGGGG